UACAUGGGGUGCAAACGUUGCUCGGAAUCAUUGGGCGUAAAGCGCGCGUAGGCGGUUGCUUAUGUCGGAUGUGAAAGCCCUCGGCUUAACUGAGGAAGUGCAUCCGAAACUGGGCAGCUAGAGUACGAAAGAGGGUCGCGGAAUUCCCGGUGUAGAGGUGAAGUUCGUAGAUAUCGGGAGGAACACCGGUGGCGAAGGCGGCGACCUGGGUCGAGACUGACGCUGAGGCGCGAAAGCGUGGGGAGCAAACAGG
rnacentral:rRNA from 1 species